GCCUGGGCGACAGGGCGAGACUCCAUCUAAAACAACAACAACAAAGAUUAAAGAACUGUGCUGAAGCUGAAAAAGCUGCUAGAAUUCUAGAAUUACCCCCAGUACCCCUUAGCCCAAGGCAUGAAACAUCAUUUUCUUUGAAUGUCCUAAGAUACAGAUCCUACACUUCUUACAAUGUACAUCUAUAUCCUAGCUGGCACAAAUAUGUCUCUGAAUUAUUCAAGAAGCUUAGCUUAACCAGGACAUAGUCCCAGGCUUUUCUUAUUAUGCCAAACAAGCUUAUUUCAGAACCAAUAGAAGCCAUAUUUGAAAGACAAGUUAUUGGCAUCCACAUCUCAGCAAUGAGAUUGUAAACCAAACUGUGUUGAUCUGGUGGAACUAUCUUCUGUUUGCUACUAAAAUCUGUCUCCUACAUACCUACUUUUCAGUUUCUUUGUUUUUAACUUAGUCACAAAAAAAGAAUAAUUACAACAUUUUUCAUAGUUAAUUAUAGUCUGAUUUUGCUCAAGGAGGAAAUAUCUUAAAAUUUAUACCAAAUUAUCUCAAUAAUGGAUGAGCUCCCACAAUUCAUCUGCCCGCUGUAUGUUCUCCGAUUUGCAGAGCUUUUUAGAACCAACCCCUACUCUUUAAUGGGCCAGACAUGUGCUUUUAGUUGCACUAACCCAGACACACAUCAUAUAUUAAUGGCUUCUGGAAUCACCCCAGAAAUCAAAGGUGUAGGUAUGAAAUUGAGUGCACAGUGAUUUUCAAAACAUGUUUUAUUGCUUGAUGCUUCUUUUUUUUUAAAAAGGAAAAUGUUCAGAUAGAUUUUAACUCCUUAGCUAUAUUAAAAUAGCAUAUUUGCUUCACAGUUUAAAAGUUUCUCUUAGUACAAAAAUGAAAUCAUAGCUUCUUUUUUUAUUCUUCAGUAAAUUCUAAAUUUUAAAUUACUGCUAAAUUAAAUGGUUUGUGUCAGAUGUUAACAAUAUGCGGCUUUAGAUUAAAACAAGCUCCAUGUAAUCUUACUGAGCCAGUAGGUCAUAGAAAUAAGAGAAAAUGUGCUUGAAUCACAGGAGAGAAGGGAUGUUGGAUAGAUCUGUGAAAUCUUUAUGUUGUAGUAUCAGCUGAUUGAUAGCAGUGAUUCUCAGAAGGGUUCCAAUAUUAAGCCUUUCAAAAGCUGGAGAUUAGUGCAACCAUGGUGAACACAGUGACAUUCUGGCAAAGAAAAAAGGGUCAGGGCUGGCAAAAUGUGGCAGGUGUCAAAAUAAAAGGUUAGGCUCUAUGCCUGGGGACCCAUCUGUCAGAUAAAAGUAUGACAAGGCAAUUAAUGUGUUUAUUUAUGUUGCUUAUGACAAACCAUGCAUUCCCUAAAAAUGAUCAAUUUAAACAUUAUCAACUGUUUUCUGGAAAUUAAAAUUAAUAUAAAAAUAAAAUGCUUAAAAUAAAAAGCAUGGUGUAAUAUUGAAAUGGCUUGUUUAUAUAACCAAAUAAAGUUAACUUUGGGGAAUUAUAGUAGUCUUCAUUGAAGGAUUAGAACUAUUAAAUAUAACAUCUUGACAAUAUAGAGGUUAUAUUAAGGAUCCACAAAACUGAUGUUUAUGUUGCAAGAUAAUCUUGGUAGCACUUCUCAUAAGUUCAGCAUGUUUUAUAUUCAUUGAGCUAAAUUUGAUAAUUUCAUAAUAAAAUGAAGCCAAGAAAAUUAUGAAGAAAUAGAAUUUAGAUAUCCAAGCUAUGCGUCUUGCAUUUUCUUUAAAUGUUUUGUUCACAACCUUGUCAUUAUUAGAGCUUUCAUUUUCACUUUGUGACUAAUCCUGACUUCUCUUUAAUUUAUUUAUUAUUUAUUUAGCUUUCUCACUACUUCUGUUUCACCAUCUGUUUAAACUAGAAUAUGUUUAGAUUUAAUAUUCAUCAGUGAUACAUUUUCCUACAGAUAAAAUAAAUUACUACAAGCUCCUAAAAUGUCAUGUGCUUUACAGGUCAAUAAAAUGUAACCCAGAAUUUUGAGAGAAACAGACUUUACUACAGUCUAAAGUUUUAUGCAAAAACUGAUCAUCCCCAUUCUUUCCUUGAAUAAAGAAAAGAAGCUGUCAAUUACCAUGUAUUAAUAAGUGAGGCUCACACCUUAUAGUAACAACAAAAUUAGAAGAGAAAUAAUACGUAUGUCUAGUGUAAUGUGAUAUGCAGAAGAAAAAUUUAAAUUCUUUAAUUGUAAAGGAAAAAAGCCAAUAUGAUAAUGUUAUUUCCAAGGUGCACUUUCUGUCUGCUGAGCGAUGAAAUUAACAAGUAAAGCCAUUGGAAUAGUCAAUAAAAUCAUUUGGCUUUGGAAAGAACAGAGGUAUUUUGUUCAAUAGUUUUGUUUUCUUUAGGCUGAGACAGCAAUUAUGCCAUCAUCAUCACUUUCCAUCUUUUAGAAGGAUAUUGGUUAAAUUUUGAGUUAAUGAUUUUUUUCUCCCCAAGAUUCCUUUCUAGCCCCUAACAUUACUAUAGUCUUAAACUAUCUUCUGUUUGUCAUACAAAAUGGCUUCUCAUAGAACAACACCAAUGUCAGGGUAGGAGCUGAGGAAGAAAAAGUAAAUAAAAAUACACAAAAUCCAAACUUUGUUAUAUGUUCCAUUCAGUGGCCUUAUACAUGACUUACAAAUUUUGUUUGAAGUUUAAUUAUAACUAACCACUAUUUAAUUCGAAUUCACUGCUGGCUGUAUUUCCUGAUUCAGAGUUCCAUAUUGCUUCUAUUGCUGGUUUUAAUUUAUUUGAACCUCAGUCUUCUAAAUUGUCUCUAUUUCCUAUCCAUUAUUUUUUAUUUGCCUAGAGGUACUUGAAAAUGCAUUCAGAAAAAAAAAAUUCUUACUCACCAUUUUGUACAACUCUUCAAAACUCUAGGAUAUGCUACAUAAUGUACAUAAUAAAAGUAGUAAUUUCAACAGAAAAUCAAGAUGCCACUCGAUUUUGCCAUGGAUUUAUAAAAAUGACACAUCAGACAACAGAAGCAUAUGAGAAAAAUUUGCUGGGUAUCUACUCACUUCAAUUCAAACAUUUGAAGAAAUUAUGAAAAUUCCGAUGAGUUUUUAAAGUUUGUGCUUGCUCUGGUGUAGUGUAGCCAUGCAUUGAUCUGUCAUCACAGGUAUGCUUUCAUAAAUUUCCCCUCAACCAAUCAGAUAGAAAUUCAUACCAAUUUGCAAAAUUGUUUUUCUUAUUUUUUAAAGCUUAACACAUGUAAGAUAAUUUGGGAAAAAUAGAUUUUCUCAUUUAUCAUUCUUUCAAUCCAUGAUAAUGUUAAAUGGUAUUUUUGAGUACCUUUAUUAUUUUAACAAAGGAUAAAAAUUCUUGGUGUAAAAUCGGUUAAAUGAAGAAAGUACCCAAGUACAAUUUUAUUUAUGUUGUGAAAAAAAUGCUAUCAGUUUGAAAAGUUCAAUUGUUUCCAAAUUGUUAAAAUGAGUCCCUAUCAAUCAUCAAAUGUUUUUUUGUAUCUGCAUCAAAUAAUUUUGGAUCUUAUGCAUUCUCAAGGUAUCAUCCCUAUCUCAGGGCUUCCAUAUGUGUUUCUUGUAUAGUCUAUUGUUUUGUUUUAUUUUAGUUGAUCAACAACUUAUAUAGCACAAGGUAAGUAUUAUGUCAUCCCCAUUUAUAGAUGAAAAAUCUCUGAUACAGAGUGGGUAAAUAAUUUUUAAAAUGUGAGCCCACCUUAUUUUAGUAAUAAGACUUCCUAUCCAUCUUCUUACUUGCUCAAACCAGAAUGCUGAAGAACCAACAAGUCAAAAUGUGAAAGUUGUGCCAUAAGGUAAGAAAAAAAUAAAUAUGUGAUGAAAAAGAAAAAAGAAAGGAAACAGCAGCAGCAAACA